UUCUAAUAGAUGGAUUAGAACAAAACAAGCCAUGUGCAUCUCAAAAAGACUGGAUAUUAUAUUAAUGCCAACUCUAUGAGAGUAUAAAUAAGCUGAUGCAGUUUAAUAGUAAGCAUAAUUUCCUAGACCAGCAUACACUAAUGGCUUAUUGGUUGAACCAGAUGUGCUGUAGAUACCCAGCUACUCUGCUGGUCUAUAGGACAGAACAACUGCAACAAACACCCCAGCAUCUCACAAAAUAUGGGAAAGUAUCAGCUGCCAUUCAACAGUGUAGAAAUAACACAGUAGUGAAACUAAUAAAUAAAUACAAACAGGUUUAGGGCAUUGUCUUUGAAACACUGUCCUCUGGGUUAAAGGUAUGAAGAUCUAGGUUUUAAUAAUUCUGGCAUACAAGGAACCCUUCCUCUCCCCUGUGUAAGUGCUUCAGUUCUUGUUCCUAGCUACAUAAAUCACAGUCAGGGUAAAUGCAUUACAAGUGAAGAGAAGGAAAUGUCAUCACCUCCUAGCAGACUCUGGGAGCAACAGCUUUGCGCAUACAUACCAAAGCACCACGCAACUUAGAAUAGAAUAAGAUACAGUGUUUUACAAACAGUCUAGACCAAAUUCAUGCUUAUCUAUGAAAUCCUUGACUGUUUACCCUCAAAAAAUAUUUAAUGCUGUUUCUCCUGAAAACAUCUCUUCCAUGACUUCAUUGUGCUUUUCUCCCAUUUUUAAGUACAUAUCAGUAGUGGGCAAGAAAGCACAGAACUCCGUGCUCAAACUCGAGUGCCAGCCACAAGACACACGGAUAGCCAGUAGUACCAAGCAAAAGCUGUACUCUCAAGAAACAGAAAAAACCUCUCAUCUAAUUUGAUUAAGAAGAGUUGACAGAGCCCAUACAUGCUGCUGACAUGUAACAUCUCUCUCAUGACAGCAGAUGCACCUGAAAGUGGGUGGCAAAGAGAUAUUACAAUGUUGACCAUACCGUCCGCAUUUCAUGAUCACAAAUAGGUUUCCAGUUGACAAGGCUCAUUUUUCAGUGCAGCACCCUUGUCUUCAAGCUUUUGCCAAACAGUUAUAACUUCAUCAGAGCAUCCGGGAUUACAUUUAACAAAAUUGCUUUUUGCAGAAGUGAGACAGUACCAAAGCAAUACAGUUCUGGAAAAAAGCAACAGCACAGACAGAAGGAGAGAAAUUAUCUGGAAAACAGAGAAAAGACUGGACCUCAGUUAUCUAGUAAAUUAGCUCAGUGCAUUAUAGCAUGUCCAUUCCUUUUUCUAGGAAUUACAGUAAAAUAAAAUUACCAGAAUUCUGCACUGUGUGCAACACCAUUUCAUUAGAAGGAUAAAAAGCCAAAACUGUGCUUUGUUAUCAAUGGACUAAGUAUGAAGACUGCUUCUAUGUGACCUUUAAUUUUGAGUUCUUCAUGAGAUCAGAUGUACAAGAUAUUCCUAUUUGAAGGAGUGAGUGCAAUCCCCGAAGCUACAUAGGUAAGCUGUGUCUAAACAUGCGAAAAGCUCACAAGUCCUGCUUUCUUCCAAAAAAAACCAAAAGCCUUCUCAUACAUCUCAUCAGAAACUUAAAACCACACUGGGAUUACGUGAUAAAACACUUCAAGGCAGAAAAUACCAAAAGUAAAUUUGCAUUUUGUGCAUUACCGUCUAAUCUUUAAUUAAGGGUUCAUAUUAAACUAAUAAAUAAAAAUAAUCUAGUUUAUCUUUUGCAGCUGUGGAUGAUUUGAGUACAAUUGUUGUGCACACAUUAGGGUAAUAUAGCCCACGAUAUGUCUUAAUAUACAAAACACAUAACUACUCAGAACUGUUACUUGAAACCGAGCUUAAGCAAGACAAAACACUUAACAGUUUGUGGCGGUAAGCACAAGUGGAAUGCAGUGACAUUGGCUGGUCAAUGUGGUCUGCAAUAGAAUGUGCCUGAUAACUGACUUGGUCUCUUUGUCUUGGCUCAAUGAAGCUGUAAGUCAAGACCUCAAGUGUUCUCUUCAAGAUAGCCAAAAAGUUGGACCCAACAUAGCUAUCGGACAUUUCAAAACUCUAGGACUCAAAGACCAUGUCAAACUACUUUAUUACUCAGGCACAGUGGAGAGUUAUGAUACCAGCAUGAGGUUUUUUCCAACCUGAGCAAUUCUAUGAUUUUAUUCUGUGAUUGUGGCCCCUCCACCUAUGGAGGAAUCCAACACAGAAACUCUGUGCCAUGACAAACCCAACUUUCUCCUUCAAGGCAUGCUUCCUCUAACAGAUACACCAAGCAGGGCGCAUAUUUAAAACAUACACACAACUGCUCCCUGUUUAGCCCCACCAAAAGAAGGAAGGACCUCUGUGCUUGCCCUGUGCAGUGGGAAAGGGUGAACCACACCCUUGAAGUUUUAUACACUGUCAGGAAUUACCCAAGUCCUGUCUUAUAUUCUAUCUAUCAGAUUCUUGAAAAAUACCAAGCAUCUAAGCUCUUCUAGAACAGUGAUGUUUUCCAUUAAUGACUACUGGAAUUUGACCAGUGUCUUUCUCUCACUAUACGUUGAUCUCAGUUCACCAGUGUGUGUAUCAAACAUCAGAUUCAUUAUCAAAUUCAUAUUAGGAGACAGCCAAUACAACGCUCGGGUUUUGCAUAAGAAUUUGACAAUGAGAAUGACGUUCUCUUUGUACCGAACAUUAAAAUUAACAAAAGAUUCCAGAAUUCACAAUCUGUGGACUAUUAAAAAAAAAGUCCAAAUAUCCAACGGAUCAGCAACAGAGAACUAAAUAAGAACAAAAUAUUUUUACCUACAAGUAAAAAUAUGUAAUACAAAUUAUACAUAAUAUCUUCCUCAGAUGGGGACUAAUUUACUAGAGCAUCUACUUCACAUUUAUGGUCAGGAACCCCUAGUGGUUGUCAAUGACAGCUGAAGGGGCUUUUCCUGCAUGGCAGACAAACACUGGUACAGGGCUUGAGAUGGUGGUAUUGAGAUCCUGACUCCUGCUGAGGUCUGAAUGGAAGCCCCAAGGCAAAUCUCUCAGUGGGAACCAAAAAGAGAAUUAACAGGCCAGAGGGCACUGUAGGUUUUUCUAUGAACCAAUCUUAUUAAACAUUUUCACAGUGACCAUGGCACAGUGACACGGUCCACUAGAAAUGUUUUAAGAACAUUUGCUGAUGCAGCGGUCAGAAACAUCAUUAAUAAAGAUGAGGAUAAGGACAACUUGAGAAAGGAUCAAACAUCCAGAGCAAAGAGACAUGCACAUACGAAAUAACUGGAUUUUCUGCCAGAGAACAAUGACAUUCCUUAGGUCACCACAGUUGGUAACAAAAGUGGAAUAGAGCUGUAGUGUUUGCUAUGAACCACCAGUGUAACGCAAAGGUGGAAAAAACAGGAGCUCUGACAUAUAACGCAAAGCGUUCCCAAAGGAAUUACGAAGUAAAUGUCACUCUGCUAAGACCCCCACCUGGCACGCUGUUUGUUCAUGCCUUCGCAAGGAAGAUUACUUCAAACCAGAACAGACAGAAUGUGGUAAAACACAAUACCUAUUUUAGCAAAGGAAGCCAUUAAUAAAAUGAACACAGGGGAGACAGAAUUGGUCCCCAAACACAGAAAU
ensembl:lncRNA